rnacentral:misc_RNA from 1 species
GUUCUUGGUCCGGUAUGCCCCACAAAUUCUCCAACCAGAUCAGUUCUUUGCACUUCAGUUACCUUGUCGGUGGGAAGAAUUCCUACCAUAUGCAGUAGUCGGCCAAGGAUUCGAGCUACCAUGGUCUUACCUGUUCCCGGGUUACCCAGAAAAGCCAUAUGAGGCGUCUUUCUAGGAGCAACACUUAAUCCCAUAGCUCGUCUCUUCUCAUCAAACAGCAUCCCCCUGGCCCACUUAUGCAAUU